AUUGAACGCUGGCGGCAUGCUUUACACAUGCAAGUCGAACGGUAACAGGCCUUCGGGUGCUGAUGAGUGGCGAACGGGUGAGUAAUGCAUCGGAACGUGCCCAGCGGUGGGGGAUAACGCAGCGAAAGCUGUGCUAAUACCGCAUGUGAUCUGAGGAUGAAAGCGGGGGACCAGGCAGCAAUGUUUGGCCUCGCGCCUUUGGAGCGGCCGAUGUCAGAUUAGGUAGUUGGUGGGGUAAAGGCCUACCAAGCCGACGAUCUGUAGCUGGUCUGAGAGGACGACCAGCCACACUGGGACUGAGACACGGCCCAGACUCCUACGGGAGGCAGCAGUGGGGAAUGUUGGACAAUGGGCGCAAGCCUGAUCCAGCAAUGCCGCGUGCGGGAAGAAGGCCUUCGGGUUGUAAACCGCUUUUGUACGGAACGAAAAGGCUCUGGCUAAUACCUGGGGCUGAUGACGGUACCGUAAGAAUAAGCACCGGCUAACUACGUG
rnacentral:rRNA from 1 species